rnacentral:rRNA from 1 species
GUCAAAGCAGGCCUCUACACGUAAGCUUGCGCUUGAGGAUGAGUCUGCGGCCCAUCAGCUAGUUGGUAGGGUAAUGGCCUACCAAGGCAAAGACGGGUAGCUGGUCUGAGAGGAUGAACAGCCACACCGGAACUGAGACACGGUCCAGACUCCUACGGGAGGCAGCAGUGGGGAAUCUUGCGCAAUGGGCGAAAGCCUGACGCAGCGACGCCGCGUGAGCGACGAAGGCCUUCGGGUUGUAAAGCUCUGUGGGGAGGAAAGAAUAAGGGUUGGCUAAUAUCCAGCUCGAUGACGGUACCUCCUUAGCAAGCACCGGCUAACUCUGUGCCAGCAGCCGCGGUAAGACAGAGGGUGCAAACGUUGUUCGGAAUUACUGGGCGUAAAGCGCGUGUAGGCGGCUUUGCAAGUCGGGUGUGAAAUCCCACGGCUCAACCGUGGAAGUGCACUCGAAACUGCAAGGCUAGAGUCCUGGAGAGGAAGGUGGAAUGCUUGGUGUAGAGGUGAAAUUCGUAGAUAUCAAGCGGAACACCGGUGGCGAAGGCGGCCUUCUGGACAGUGACUGACGCUGAGACGCGAAAGCGUGGGGAGCAAACAGGAUUAGAUACCCUGGUAGUCCACGCCGUAAACGAUGAGUGCUAGGUGUCACGGGCUUUGACCCUCGUGGUGCCGGAGCUAACGCGUUAAGCACUCCGCC